rnacentral:lncRNA from 1 species
AUUCAAUUGUGUAGGGUUUAUUUAUAAUAUUAGUGCUAGAAAUGGGUAUAUCACUAAAUAUCUCAAAAAAAUAUCGUCUGAGAGAGAGAUGUUGACCUUAUUUUUUGGUCCGACACUGGAGACGUGGAGACCACAAUCCAAUCGGAGAUUGCAACUUGUAUCGGGUGUUACCAUACGGCGUCGUAGCAAAGCUAUGGCCCAUUCAAAUUGGAAGAACAACUUUGUGCGCAACUUUAAUGAUACAUACAAACACAUACACUCUAUGAUCCACGUCCUUGGAAUUUAGAGGACAAAUUAAGAGUCUGCCCUGCCCUAAUCUUUUUCUUGUCAUUUUAAAAUUCAUCAGAUUGUGAUGUAAAUAUUAUAUAAUAUAUAGUAGAGACUAGAGACUAGAGACUAGAGAGAGAGAGAGUAGCUGGAAAUGUAGUUGUUUUGCAGGUAGAUCCAAGAAGAUGGGUUUAGUUUUUUGUAUAUGGUAUUUGAGCUGAGUUGGUAUUUUAUCAUUUUUCUUUUGUCUCUCCUCCUGGUUUAGAUUUAUUUAUUACAACAUGG